UGAUGCAGCACGCCCGCUUGAGAUGACGCAAUCGUGGUACUCCUUAUAUGUCAAGAAAUGACGUAGCAUAUGAUUAGCACCGCUACUCCGUGCAGCAGCGCGGUAUACGAGGGUGCAGCGUAUCGAUCACUGGGCGUAAAGGACGCGUAGGCGGGAUGCCAAGUCUGAUGUGAAAUCCUAUGGCUUAACCCAUAGAACUGCAUUGGAAACUGGUAACCUAGAGUAUGGGAGGGGGAGAUGGAAUUAGUGGUGUAGGGGUAAAAUCCGUAGAUAUCACUAGGAAUACCGAAAGCGAAGGCGAUCUCCUGGAACAAUACUGACGCUAAGGCGUGAAAGCGUGGGGAGCAAACGGGAUUAGAUACCCCGGUAGUCCACGCCCUAAACGAUGUUCACUAGUCGUCGGAAUGCUAGUCAUUUCGGUGAUGCACUUAACAGAUUAAGUGAACCGCCUGGGGAGUACGGUCGCAAGAUUAAAACUCAAAGGAAUAGACGGGGACCCGCACAAGUGGUGGAGCAUGUGGUUUAAUUCGAAGAUACGCGAAGAACCUUACCUAGCCUUGACAUUGAUUGAACACUUUAGAGAUAGAGUGGUGCCCUUCGGGGAACAUGAAAACAGGUGCUGCACGGCUGUCGUCAGCUCGUGUCGUGAGAUGUUGGGUUAAGUCCCGCAACGAGCGCAACCCUCGUCCUUAGUUGCCAGCAGGUUAUGCUGGGCACUCUAAGGAGACUGCCUUCGCAAGGAGGAGGAAGGUGAGGACGACGUCAAGUCAUCAUGGCCCUUAUGGCUAGGGCUACACACGUGCUACAAUGGGGCGUACAGAGAGUUGCGAUACCGCGAGGUGGAGCCAAUCUCAUAAAGCGUCUCUCAGUUCGGAUUGAAGUCUGCAACUCGACUUCAUGAAGCUGGAAUCACUAGUAAUCGUAGAUCAGCAAUGCUACGGUGAAUACGUUCCCGGGUCUUGUACUCACCGCCCGUCACACCAUGGGAGUUGAUUUCACCCGAAAUUGGGAAGCUAACCUUCGGGAGGCUACCACUUACGGUGGAAUUAGCGACUGGGGUGAAGUCGUAACAAG
rnacentral:rRNA from 1 species